UUGACCUACGGGACGCAGCAGUGGGGAAUAUUGGGCAAUGGGCGCAAGCCUGACCCAGCAACGCCGCGUGAAGGAAGAAGGCUUUCGGGUUGUAAACUUCUUUUAAGAGGGAAGAGAAGAAGACGGUACCUCUUGAAUAAGCCACGGCUAACUACGUGCCAGCAGCCGCGGUAAUACGUAGGUGGCAAGCGUUAUCCGGAUUUACUGGGUGUAAAGGGAGCGUAGGCGGCAAGGUAAGCCAGAAGUGAAAGCCCGCGGCUCAACUGCGGGACUGCUUUUGGAACUAUCUAGCUAGAUUGCAGGAG
rnacentral:rRNA from 1 species